CGGCCUCUGUCCCCCUGGCGAUCCCCCCUGCAACUCCUCCACCACGGGCCAGAGACCCCCCUCUCCGGGUGGCAGACACGGGUGGCUUGUGCCGGCUGGAUUGAAGUAGAGAGGUGGCUACUUGCCGUUGGUGACAGUGUUUUGCUGCCGCUGGAGAAUCCAGACCACGUUGCUGGCCCAGUAAUCCAUUGCUCGACUUGAUUAACCACAGGAAGACAUUAAGUGAAUGAUUAUGUCAAAGUGACUCGCCCUGGAUGCUGUUUUCUCCCGUCAAUACAGCUCGUCUCCUCUCCUUAACCAUUGCAGGGAGGCCAACACAGGUAAGGAACCCACGAGCUGAAAACGGUCAAAUUGUUCAAGACUGUUGCAAACCCUCUUUUGAGAAGGCUUGCAUGUCUUACUUGUGGUCCCCUAAGAAGUGGACCCUGAGAUAAAGAUUUGAAAGUGAGCAGUUUGUUUGGGGAAUGAUGUUAGAAAACUCUAGUAGGAAAGCAGGAAAGUAAACAUGGUAAGGGAAGGCUACCAGCAUGUGGUGUGUUGUUAAGGAGGUGAUCACCAUGGAUGACAGAACUUAAUCCUGCUAGGACAUUCUGGGAGUCAGUGUAGCUUACGCACUUCCGAGAUACCCCUCCUCGAGGGCGAGAGAGCUGGGGUAUUGAUCUAUCAGUGCCUGUCAGUCAUCAGAUGGGGGCUGUCCUUGGCUUUCUCUGCAGGCAAAGAGCCCCCGGUGCUGGGCAUUAACUUGGAGUAUGAAGAAAUGAGCAGGGCACCAGACCAGGUAGGCGUCCAGGAAGAAAGAUAAGUAUAGAUUUGAAAUCAAGCAGACCUGCACUAUUUGUUUGUUUGUUUGUUUGAGAGAGUCAUUGCAUGCCUGUGAGGUGAGGGAGGAGGGGCAGCUCAAGGGGGAGAGAGAGAAUCUUCAAGCUGACUCCAUGCCUAGAAUGGAGACCAAUGUGGACCUUGCUCCAUCUCAGGACCCUGAGAUCACAACCCGCGCUGAAAUCAAGAGUCGGACGUUUAAAUGCUGAGUCACUGAGGCGCCCAGAACUGCAUCUUAAGAGGUAUUUUCACUACUUACCAAGACUAUGAUCUUGGACAAGGUAUUCAGCCUCUCUGAGCUUUAGUUUUCUCAUCUGUGAAAUGGGGAUAAUUAUGUAUACCACUGAUUUCAUUAGGGGCACAGACAGGAAUUUUGAGCUAAUGUAAAAUCCAUGGCAUGACGCCCCACAUUUUUAGCUUUUUCAUUAUUUUCUAAGUAUUUGUUGAUUGAGUAUUGUUUACAGAGCGCUGUUAGAUUUUUACGUGAGGUCUAAUCUAAUCCGUUCGGAGGGACAAAAGGAAUCCCAGCUCAAUCCUCUACUUGUGCAAGAGCACCCGUUUAUAGAAGCGGGUGAAGGAGUCUGGAUCCUCAUGCAGAAAGCGUGACUGUAUGCUUAAAGUCAAGCCCUGGGCAGCAGAGAGCUCCCGCCAGUACCCUCUUCCCUCCACAGUCCUGUCCUCUUUUCCCACUAACUUCAUUAAGCACCCGCUCCAGGCCAGGCAGCAGAGAAUAAAGCCCCUGUGAGGCUCUUGGGGAACCUAAGAGUCUAGAGGAAAGAAAAGCAAGUUACAGUGAUGAUAAGAGUCGCUAACGUUUAGGAAGCCCUUGGUGCUACGCACUGUUCUAGGCACUUGACAAUAUGAGCUUAUUAAUCCCUUAAAACAAUUCCACGAGGUAAAGUGCUCUUGUUGUGCCCGUUUUACAUACGAGGAAACCGAGGCACAGGGCAGGUAGGAGACAGCACAUGGGGAAGGUGGUUCAACCCUUCCAGCUAUGACUGUAGCUCAAGUGCUUCCCCACCACGCGUCACUCAGUCUUAAUGCUGUGGUCACAUCACACUGGCUAAUUAUCCCAUGACUUCCCUGUUCCUAUUCUGUGGCUUUAGAAUCCCUGUGCUUGAGCCUGCCUGUGGCCUCCUAGGGAGAGUAAAAGCAGAUUCCCAGGCUCCAUCUCCAGAGCUCCUGCUUUAGUAAGUCCGGGUGGGGCUUGAGAAUGUGUAUUUCUAGCAAGCUCCAAGAGGGCACCGAGGCUGGAUAUCCACCGACCCCACUUUUUGAGCUGCUUGGUUUCCAGCACAGGUGUUUUCUUUUUUUCUCCCAGGGGACACAUGACAAAGUCUAGAAUCAGUUCUGAUUCACAGUUCAGGGGGUCGAGACUGGCAUCUAGUGGGUGGAGGGCUGGGAUGAUGCCGGACCAACCCCCCUAACCCCAGGGAGCCCAGGAAAUGCCCUCACAAACAAAAACUAACCCAGCCCAAAAUGUCAAGGGGGCCAAGGUUGAGAACACCGGUGUGGGGCACAGCCCCCCAAAUGUUAACAUAGCGAGGGGUCAUCUGGGGAUCUGGCUUGAAACACAGAU